UACGUAGGGUGCAAGCGUUAAUCGGAAUUACUGGGCGUAAAGCGUGCGCAGGCGGUUAUGCAAGACAGAUGUGAAAUCCCCGGGCUUAACCUGGGAACCGCAUUUGUGACUGCAUAGCUGGAGUGCGGCAGAGGGGGGUGGAAUUCCGCGUGUAGCAGUGAAAUGCGUAGAGAUGCGGAGGAACACCGAUGGCGAAGGCAGCCCCCCUGGGCUAGCACUGACGCUCAGGCACGAAAGCGUGGGGAGCAAACAGG
rnacentral:rRNA from 1 species